GUCUUGAACAAUGUUAACUGUCGAUUCUAUGCGACAUAGAUAUUGUUCUUCUCAUGUUUACUCCUCGCGGAAAGCUGACCAUCUUUUUUGCAGAACAUUGGUAGUUUCUUCUUCCGAAAUCUUUUUUCGAAUGCUUAGAGUGGUAACUCUGAUCUUGACUAGUUAUAGGGAAACAAAUUUCAGUGUUGUAGUUUUAGAUUUUUCAUUUCUACCAAUCAUCUAUCCAGACUUCACUAGUUUUCGAGGUUUCCUUUCAUUUUGAUUAUUUUGAUUUUUCACAACCUAUAUAUUUGUAUGUGUAAUAAGCACUUAUAUUCUAGAAAUUUGCAGUGUUCGACACCCAUGUCAGUCACACGUUGACACUCCAUUUUCUUCUUACAUCUAGCAGUAUUUAUAUGCUUUUUGUUUAGGUCAUGGUUUAGCUAUUAGAAUACAUCUUCUUGUUUCUUAUGCAUAUGGUGUUUGGAAUCAAGAGGGAAUAUAUAUUAAUAAAAACAUACUCUAAUUGACACCCAUUAUUAACUAACAUGGCAGAGAAGUUUCUUAACUUUUUUGUAAAAAGUGUAAUGAGGAAAUAUCAUGCUCUCCUCCACAAAAAAGACAAUAUACACAUGUACAUGGUGAUAAUGGUAGGUGUCUACGAGCUUGUGUUUUUAUUAGAAUAUAUGUUCUUGGUUCCAAACUGACCCUAAAUGAAGUAAUAUCUAAUAGAACAAGUUGCAAUGUCAUUAUAUGCCUGUACAGACAUGUCGGCAUGGUGGGUUUUCGAGGACCUUGUGUCCAUUUUCUUGUUUCCUUGCCUGAGAAAACACUGCUGUACAUGUCUGAAACAGGUAGAUUUAUCUGUGCUCAUGUUGCAUUGUUGCAACAUUCUUGUUUGGUUAUCUUGUCUGCCCCUCUUUAAAUCCUGGAUUGUUGAAAAUGUGUAAGAUCUGUUCUAAUGGAAUGCUUUACUCUUUUAGGUUUGUCUUCUUUCAGUGAUUUGAGUAAUCCUUGAAAGAUAUUCGGGGAUAAGUCCUUGAGAAUGAAGAAAAAAGGAAUGACAGAAUUCUGCAAGAUCGAGAUUGUGCUUUGUUAACUGUAAGGAGUAGAUGUGUUUUUUUUUUUU